AGGGCAAGAAAGGAGAACGGUGAUAGGUUGAUAUACAUGACUAAAGUGUCAUGUAAAAGAAACCCUCCUGUAGGAUAUAACUCCAACCCUGUUCCUGGAUAGAAACCCUCCUGUAGGUUUUAACUCAAACCCUGUUCCUGGAGAGAGACCCUCCUGUAGGUUUUAACUCCAACCCUGUUCCUGGAGAGAGACCCUCCUGUAGGUUUUAACUCCAGCCCUGUUCCUGGAGAGAGACCCUCCUGUAGGUUUUAACUCCAACCCUGUUCCUGGAGAGAAACCCUCCUGUAGGUUU